rnacentral:lncRNA from 1 species
UGGCAUCUAUGUUUUAUGAAGAUCUGAAACUUCACUAUUUCAGCAAGUACAAGAAAAUACUGUCUUCAUAAAAUUCCUGGUCUGAUACACAAAGAAACGGGAAAAGCUGAUAACACACUGGUGUUAUUUAAUGAAAUUAUUUAUUGGAAAAUUUAAUACCAACUUCUGGACAUGUCCAGUAGAGAAGGCAAUGUAUAUAUAUAACCUAUGGAGAGGCAAAGUGGCUCCCACUAAAGGGAAGAACAAUCUGAUGAUGGUGUCUUCACUGAAAAGUAGUUACUUUAAAAUGUGGUGCGCAGAGCUAACAUCCACAGAGAAGAACUUUAAAGUCUCACAACUGAGAGAAAAGCUGUAAUAAUUGUCUGUAAGGCUGACUUGAUGGUUGACUGCAAUAAACUUGUGAAAAACCUGGAUCGUAGGAAAUAA